UCUUGUCAAAUCGCAUGCGCAGUCGAAACCAGCUACAAGCAGACGUUAUUUGCCUACUUUGGACUUUAGAUUCUGGUUUACAGAAUAAGUCUUUUCACGGCAUUUUCUCAUUUACAGUCAAAUGAUGUGUUUGUUUCACAAUCGGACAAUUAUCAAGGUAUCGAUGUGAUUUGAAAGGUGAUAGAAACGAAAGCGGAAGUAAAAAAGGGUGGAAUUUGGAAAUUCCGAUGAUCUGUGUGCAGAUGGGUGCAGUCAAACAGACUUCCCUGAGAAUUACAAAAGAUUGAGAAUUGUCAAGUUUACGGCCAAGUGUUAAUGUAACACCAGAGAAAACAGACGAGGUGACACGGACAAACAAGUUAACAUUGUCAGCAGAACAGUGCAUCUUCCCCAAGAAGAAUGAGAUGGGUCAAGUCAAAGAUCAACUGUUAAUGUAACACCAGGUAACUGCUCCUUGAGACGGCCCAGUGAAACAAGUCAACCUUGUCAGUGAAGUAUUCAAACUUCUCUGGGGAAUUCAUAAAGAUACAAGUCGAAGACCAUUGUCAGACACUGGUGAGAAGUGCCUAGAUGACUUCACAGAUAGAGACGAGCCAAAGCAUGUAUACCUAACUCAAAGGCUACGUUUUGGAUCUAAUACAAC